rnacentral:antisense_RNA from 1 species
AUCUCUUUUAAAGCAUUUUCUCCUGUUUUUCCAUUAUUUUUUACAUAUACAUCAUAAAAUGGUUUCAUAGAUUCUCUAAAUGCUGUAAGUUCUGGAUUUGUUACUGUUACCCCUU